UACGUAGGGUGCAAGCGUUGUCCGGAAUUAUUGGGCGUAAAGAGCUUGUAGGCGGUUUGUCGCGUCUGCUGUGAAAUUUCGGGGCUCAACCCCGAACUUGCAGUGGGUACGGGCAGACUAGAGUGUGGUAGGGGAGACUGGAAUUCCUGGUGUAGCGGUGAAACGCGCAGAUAUCAGGAGGAACACCGAUGGCGAAGGCAGGUCUCUGGGCCACUACUGACGCUGAGAAGCGAAAGCAUGGGGAGCGAACAGG
rnacentral:rRNA from 1 species